rnacentral:lncRNA from 1 species
GAAGAGGAACCUACUCUUUAAGAGCUGAAGCACGGGGGAAAACGAAUUCUUAGACCCCCUGGAAACCACUCCCCUGCUGGGCCUAAAGUCAGUUCCCUAGAGAAGGGAGCCCGGGAGACCCUCUGGGCACCCCGGCAUCUCAAGCCAGAGCUGAGGGCCCGGAAAGUGAGGGGCCGCGCCUCAGUACUGGAGGCCUAGAGUCCAUCUCCGCGAACUGGGGGCUCUCAGGGCCCGCAGAAAUCCCCCUUAGCCCUCCGAGGCCCCUGGAAGGAGUCGCCCCGGGAGAGGAAAUCACUCAGCUCUGAAAAGCGUCGCAAACGGGCGGUGGGAGAGUUCUAAAGCGGCCUUUCGCCUCUCGGAGGAGGUGAGGCCGAGCUGGGGAUGUGCGGGUUUGGGGCCCAGAACUGCACCGCAGGGCCGCAGAGGCGGGAAGCUGGCCGGAGAGGAGUGGGAAGGCGACCAAGGGCAGCAGCAGGGGCUCCUGCGGGGCGCAGGUCUGUGCUGGCGCCGGGCCUGGCCUCUGCAGGCUCGGCGGAGCCUCCCGAUUGCUCCCGCCGCACCCGCCCGCGGCCACUCACCCGGCCCCGCGGCCAGCCCGGGCGGGGUCGCACGCAAACAAGGAUGCUUCUAUUUACUCGCCUCUGCCUGUAGAUUUCUAAGACAUUCAGCAGGCACAAUCAUUAAACUAAUUUGUGUUUGAUUGUUUGGGCGGACGGAGGGUAGUUUUAUUGCGCUAAGCAUUCAAGCAGGCACGCAUCGCUGAUUACCAGUAUACAUUAAAUAAAGUUGUUUGUACACAUUGUCUUACCACAUAUAGGCAGAGGCUUAUUAUUCUAAUUACUCUAAUUAGUGCAUUGAAAUGUUUUCUACUUGAUUUGAGGAGACAGUGAUUAGUUCUAUUACUUCUUUUAACUCGUAUUUUAUGGAAAACUGUUGGUGCAUGUUCAAAUUACUUUAUUUGCCCCUGGAAUAUAACGCUGACCCAAAUGCAGUGAACUGCACGGCCCUUGUGGGGCCCCAACUUUGAUGUGGGCCUCGGCUUGGAAGAGGCGUCUGUUAUUUAUUAUUUCCCUCCCACCAGCGUAGCCUGGUCUCCCAGCGCCGUGCCCGCCGCCCCCGCCCCAUCCUGCGCCCCAGAUGCGCGCCCCGCUUGGACCAGUCCGAGCAGAGGGGGGUUCCGAAAUCUGCUCGGACGCAGCAUCGCUGGCCGCCUGCCCCGCUAGUUCCCCGAGUGCGAUUACUUUUUAAAGGCUCCUUUAAGCAUAUUUCCGUGAAUCUGUUUCUUGUGCUUUAAUGUUACUAUUAAUUGAUAAGAUCAGCUCAUCAAACAUACUAUUUCGAUAGGGAAUUGUAAUUAAAACCUUAAUCCUGUUUGAGACU